UACGUAGGGUGCAAGCGUUGUCCGGAAUUAUUGGGCGUAAAGAGCUCGUAGGCGGCCUGUCACGUCGGCUGUGAAAACCCGAGGCUCAACCUCGGGCCUGCAGUCGAUACGGGCAAACUAGAGUACUGCAGGGGAGACUGGAAUUCCUGGUGUAGCGGUGAAAUGCGCAGAUAUCAGGAGGAACACCGGUGGCGAAGGCGGGUCUCUGGGCAGUAACUGACGCUGAGGCGCGAAAGCGUGGGGAGCAAACAGG
rnacentral:rRNA from 1 species